AAAGUCGUAACAAGGUUUCCGUAGGUGAACCUGCGGAAGGAUCAUUGGGGGAGUGAAUGGGGAGAGAGAGUUGGAAUGGGAGAGAAUAUUUUAUUACAUUACAAUCAAAUACACAACUGCUGACAAUGGAUCUCUGGGCUCUU
rnacentral:misc_RNA from 1 species